rnacentral:rRNA from 1 species
UACGGGGGGGGCAAGCGUUGUUCGGAAUUACUGGGCGUAAAGGGCUCGUAGGCGGCCAACUAAGUCAGACGUGAAAUCCCUCGGCUUAACCGGGGAACUGCGUCUGAUACUGGAUGGCUUGAGUUUGGGAGAGGGAUGCGGAAUUCCAGGUGUAGCGGUGAAAUGCGUAGAUAUCAAGAGGACCACCUGCGGCGAAGGCGGGUUGCUGGGCCGACACUGACGCUGAGGAGCGAAAGCGUGGGGAGCGAACAGG